AGUUUGAUCCUGGCUCAGGACGAACGCUGGCGGCGUGCUUAACACAUGCAAGUCGAACGAUGAAGCCGCUUCGGUGGUGGAUUAGUGGCGAACGGGUGAGUAACACGUGGGCAAUCUGCCCUUCACUCUGGGACAAGCCCUGGAAACGGGGUCUAAUACCGGAUACCACUCUGUCCCGCAUGGGACGGGGUUGAAAGCUCCGGCGGUGAAGGAUGAGCCCGCGGCCUAUCAGCUUGUUGGUGGGGUAAUGGCCUACCAAGGCGACGACGGGUAGCCGGCCUGAGAGGGCGACCGGCCACACUGGGACUGAGACACGGCCCAGACUCCUACGGGAGGCAGCAGUGGGGAAUAUUGCACAAUGGGCGAAACGCCUGAUGCAGCGAUCGCCGCGUGAGGGAUGAGCGGCCUUCGGGUUGUAAACCUCUUUCAGCAGGGAAGAAGCACAAGU
rnacentral:rRNA from 1 species